UGGAAGCAUGGCUGAGCGGUUUAAAGCGCCAGUUUGCUAAAUUGGUAAAGUCCUUUUAUAGACUUUCGCAGGUUCGAAUCCUGCUGCUUCCGU
rnacentral:tRNA from 1 species